rnacentral:rRNA from 1 species
GGCAUAAGAUGGCCCUCGGCGUAUCAGCUUUUAGGGGUGGUACGUACCCUCUAGCCAUCAACGCGUACGGGUGUUGGGAGACAUAGCCCGGAGAUGGAUUCUGAGACACGAAUCCAGACCCUACGGGGUGCAGCAGGCGCGAAAACUUGGCAAUGCGAGAAAUCGUGACCAGGGAACUCCAAGUGGCUGGGGUAAGACCCAGUCUUUUCUUGACUCUUCAAAGGUCUUGGAAUAAGGGGUGGGUAAGGACGGUGCCAGCCGCCGCGGUAGUACCGGCGCCUCAAGUGGUAGUCGAUUUUAUUGGGCCUAAAACGUCCGUCGCCUGUUUGGUACAUUCGUGGGUAAAUCAACCAGCUCAACUGGUUGAAUUCUGCGAGCACGGCCAGACUUGGGACCGGGAGAGGUGUGGGGUACGUUCAGGGUAGGGGUAAAAUCCUGUCAUCCUAAACGGACCACCUGUUGCGAAGGCUCCACACUAGAACGGAUCCGACGGUCAGGGACGAAGCCUAGGGGCACGAACCGGAUUAGAUACCCGGGUAGUCCUAGGUGUAAACGCUGUGGACUUGGUGUUGGGGACUCUCCGAGAUUCCUCAGUGCCGAAGCGAAGGUGAUAAGUCCACUGCCUGGGGAGUACGUCGCAAGGCUGAAACUCAAAGGAA